UUUAUGGAGAGUUUGAUCCUGGCUCAGGAUGAACGCUGGCGGCGUGCCUAAUACAUGCAAGUCGAGCGAACAGACGAGGAGCUUGCUCCUCUGACGUUAGCGGCGGACGGGUGAGUAACACGUGGAUAACCUACCUAUAAGACUGGGAUAACUUCGGGAAACCGGAGCUAAUACCGGAUAAUAUAUUGAACCGCAUGGUUCAAUAGUGAAAGACGGUUUUGCUGUCACUUAUAGAUGGAUCCGCGCCGCAUUAGCUAGUUGGUAAGGUAACGGCUUACCAAGGCAACGAUGCGUAGCCGACCUGAGAGGGUGAUCGGCCACACUGGAACUGAGACACGGUCCAGACUCCUACGGGAGGCAGCAGUAGGGAAUCUUCCGCAAUGGGCGAAAGCCUGACGGAGCAACGCCGCGUGAGUGAUGAAGGUCUUCGGAUCGUAAAACUCUGUUAUUAGGGAAGAACAAAUGUGUAAGUAACUAUGCACGUCUUGACGGUACCUAAUCAGAAAGCCACGGCUAACUACGUGCCAGCAGCCGCGGUAAUACGUAGGUGGCAAGCGUUAUCCGGAAUUAUUGGGCGUAAAGCGCGCGUAGG
rnacentral:rRNA from 1 species